CCACAAGGCCGCUGAAGGCCAGUUAGAACGUGGCACUCUAGAAGGACAAGAACCCUCCAGAAGUAGAUGGAUGUGGCUCCAUCCUAGGGCAGAGCUGGAGAAUGACUGCAGCCUCACUGAGGACAAUGUCUCCUGGGGCCUGUGGGCACACUGAGGCCCCAAGAGGAUAAGGAGUUUGCCCUGGGCUCCUUCCUCUGCACCUGCUGCCUCCCCAAGAAGAAGCCGUGAAUUCAUCUCCACCCAAGGAGACCAUGCACAUCCUUGGGCCCAAGUGUGCUGCCCUCUGCCUAUUGCAGGAUGAGACAAGAAAGGACAAUCUCGGAAGAUGCACUUCCUGCCACGGCGCAGGGUCAAGCUUGCCUAGAGAGUUGGUGAUGAGACAAAUCACCAAUGAAGAUCCACAGAUAAACAGCCGUCACAAUCAGGAGGAGCAAUGACGGCAACAGCACGCCGCAUAGACUACAGUGAAGACGCCAAGUCUCUGAAAAGAUGCAGACAGAUGCGGGAGAAGAAACUGCGAGCAGCCCCUUUCUCGACGCCUCAGCCUUCCUCUCUGGGAACCAUAGUGCGCAUGCGGAGUACUCUGAUCCUCCCUGAGAAACAGCACUGAUGCAGGAGCUGGAGACCUGGGUCCUCAGCCUCGCCCUGCCACCAACAGCCGUGUAUCCUUCUCUAAGGAUGGAUCUGUGAAGUAGAGAUAACCACCAAAUCACGAAGAUCACGUGAUAUAAAGGGUGUGAGGGGGUCUCGCCUGUACGUGGUGAUUUCCCCGAUCUGGAAUUUCAUGCUGUGGAUGGAUCCUGGCAUUAAAUCCUGUCUGGGUUCCAACAGGCCCUGACUGGCCUCCCUGCCAGCCGUUGCCCCUCGCCGUAACCUGCGUCAGCCCCCAGAGUCAGCCUCCUGAAAAAGCCUUUGCAGCUCAUCACCCCCCACAGUGACCCCACAGCAGCUCCCCAUGGCCCCCAGGGCAGCCCAUGACUUAGAGGGGCAUUCCAGACCCUGGGAACCUGAUCCCCACCUGAACCUCCCCACUCUUUCCCAACCCAG
rnacentral:lncRNA from 1 species